UACGUAGGGUGCGAGCGUUGUCCGGAAUUAUUGGGCGUAAAGAGCUCGUAGGCGGUUUGUCGCGUCGGCCGUGAAAACUUGGGGCUUAACCCCGAGCCUGCAGUGGAUACGGGCAGACUAGAGGUAGGUAGGGGAGAAUGGAAUUCCCGGUGUAGCGGUGAAAUGCGCAGAUAUCGGGAGGAACACCGGUGGCGAAGGCGGUUCUCUGGGCCUUACCUGACGCUGAGGAGCGAAAGCGUGGGGAGCGAACAGG
rnacentral:rRNA from 1 species